rnacentral:tRNA from 1 species
UUUCUGUAGUUAAACUUUUGUAACGAUGGCUUUUCAGGCCGUAGAUCUCGGAGAGAGGCCGGACAGAAAU